rnacentral:rRNA from 1 species
CACGGGGGGAGCAAGCGUUGUUCGGAAUCACUGGGCGUAAAGGGCGUGUAGGCGGUUAGGUAAGUGGGAUGUGAAAUCCCUCGGCUCACCCGAGGACCUGCAUCCCAAACUGCCUGACUUGAGUAUGGGAGAGGAUGAGGGAAUUCCUGGUGUAGCGGUGAAAUGCGUAGAUAUCAGGAGGAACACCGGUGGCGAAGGCGCUCAUCUGGCCCAAUACUGACGCUGAGGCGCGAAAGCUAGGGGAGCAAACGGG